rnacentral:rRNA from 1 species
UAGGGAAUCUUCGGCAAUGGACGGAAGUCUGACCGAGCAACGCCGCGUGUGUGAAGAAGGUUUUCGGAUCGUAAAGCUCUGUUGUUAGAGAAGAACGUUGGUAGGAGUGGAAAAUCUACCAAGUGACGGUAACUAACCAGAAAGGGACGGCUAACUACGUGCCAGCAUCCGCGGUAAUACGUAGGUCCCGAGCGUUUUCCGGAUUUAUUGGGCUUAAAGCGAGCGCAGGCGGUUCUUUAAGUCUGAAGUUAAAGGCAGUGGCUUAACCAUUGUACGCUUUGGAAACUGGAGGACUUGAGUGCAGAAGUGGAGAGUGGAAUUCCAUGUGUAGCAGUGAAAUGCGUAGAUAUAUGGAGGAACACCGGUGGCGAAAGCGGCUCUCUGGUCUGUAACUGACGCUGAGGCUCGAAAGCGUGGGGAGCAAACAGG